rnacentral:rRNA from 1 species
GAGCUUGCUCCUUGAGAUAGCGGCGGACGGGUGAGAAAGGACUAGGAAUCUGCCUGGUAGUGGGGGAUAACGUUCCGAAAGGAACGCUAAUACCGCAUACGUCCUACGGGAGAAAGCAGGGGACCUUCGGGCCUUGCGCUAUCAGAUGAGCCUAGGUCGGAUUAGCUAGUUGGUGAGGUAAUGGCUCACCAAGGCGACGAUCCGUAACUGGUCUGAGAGGAUGAUCAGUCACACUGGAACUGAGACACGGUCCAGACUCCUACGGGAGGCAGCAGUGGGGAAUAUUGGACAAUGGGCGAAAGCCUGAUCCAGCCAUGCCGCGUGUGUGAAGAAGGUCUUCGGAUUGUAAAGCACUUUAAGUUGGGAGGAAGGGCUGUAAAUUAAUACCUUGCUGUUUUGACGUUACCGACAGAAUAAGCACCGGCUAACUUCGUGCCAGCAGCCGCGGUAAUACAAAGGGUGCAAGCGUUAAUCGGAAUUACUGGGCGUAAAGCGCGCGUAGGUGGUUCGUUAAGUUGGAUGUGAAACCCCCGGGCUCAACCUGGGAACUGCAUCCAAAACUGGCUAACUAGAGUACGGUAGAGGGUAGUGGAAUUUCCUGUGUAGCGGUGAAAUGCGUAGAUAUAGGAAGGAACACCAGUGGCGAAGGCGACUACCUGGACUGAUACUGACACUGAGGUGCGAAAGCGUGGGGAGCAAACAGGAUUAGAUACCCUGGUAGUCCACGCCGUAAACGAUGUCAACUAGCCGUUGGAAUCCUUGAGAUUUUAGUGGCGCAACUAACGCAUUAAGUUGACCGCCUGGGGAGUACGGCCGCAAGGUUAAAACUCAAAUGAAUUGACGGGGGCCCGCACAAGCGGUGGAGCAUGUGAUUUAAUUCGAAAGCAACCCGAACAACCCUUACCUGGCCUUGACAUGCUGAGAAGCUUUGCCAGAGAUGGAUGCUGCCUUUCGGGAACUCUAGACCCAGGUGCUGCAUGGCUGUCGUCAGCUCGUGUCGUGAGAAUGGUGGGAUAAGUCCCAGUAACCGAGCGCACUCGUGGUCCUAGGUACCCGGCACGUAAUGCUGGCACCUCUAAUGCAACUGGCGGGUGAACAUCCCGAAGG